rnacentral:lncRNA from 1 species
UCCAUUAUCAAGAAGUCCUCUCGCAGCCUAUAUACUUUUCCAGGUAAAUGAAGGUAAAUUCCCCAACUGAGCUUUGUAGAAAUCUAAAUUGGGAAAAUAUUUUGCUUUCAAAACACGGGCCAAUAAUGAAUUCGAAUAAUUAAUAAGACGCCAUCCCUGCUUCGCUAAUAAUGCAACGUUAAAUUUAGCAAAAUCAUGAAAACCGAGACCACCAUCUUCUUUUAAUAGACAUAUAUCCUUCCAAGCGCACCAGUGGAUACCUUUUUUAUUAAAUCUCUUUUGCCACCAAAAGUUGGCUAUUAUUCUAUCCAAAUCUGUACAAAGCGUCUUAGGGAGUAGAAAACAAGCCAUCGAGUAUGUUGGAAUAGCUUGGAGAACUGCCUUAAUAAACACUUCAUUUCCUUAUUGUGAGAGAUACCUAAUACUCCAACUGUCGAUUUUUUGCUUGAGUUUGUCCUUCAAAUUUUGAAAAGAUAAUCUCUUUCUUUUCCCCACCAUACUAGGAAGUCCUAGAUAUCGCUCAAAAUCAUUAGCUCUUCUGACUCCAAGGAUCUGUGAAACAACACUCCUUUCACUCUCUUUUGUAUUAGUACUGAAGAAAACAGUCGAGUUUUCAAAAUUCACACAUUGCCUAGAACUUGUCUCGUAUUCUUGCAGUAUCUGUUUUAAUGAAUGUGCUCCCCUAUCCGUAGCUUCUGCAAAUAAAAUACAAUCAUCUGCAAAUAGUAAAUGGGAGAUAACUGGCCCUUCUCGACUUGUUUUAACACCUUUAAAAACAUUAUCCUCUUUUGCUAACCUCAUUAGACUUGAGAGUCCUUCUCCACAAAUAAGAAAUAAAAAUGGACUUAAAGGAUCCCCUUGCCUAAGACCUCUCGAUGGGAGAAACAUUUGACCAAUAUUUCCAUUGAAACUCACAGAGUAUGAGACUGAAGAGACACAAUUCAGUACUAAAUCAACCUAUCCUGGGUCAAAACCCAUUUUUUUCCAUUACUCCUUUAACAAACCCCCAUUCAACCCUAUCAUAUGCCUUACUCAUGUCCAGUUUAAUAGCCAUGAAUCUUUUUUUCCCCAAUCUCUUCAGUUUCAAAGUGUGUAGAAUUUCAUAAGCAAGUAACACAUUAUCAGAAAUCAGCCUUCCUGGAACAAAAGCACUCUGUGCUAAAUCAAUACAUUUAUAAAUUAUCCCCCGUAGCCUAUCCGCAAUGACUUUAGCAAUCAAUUUGUAAAUCACAUUACAUAAACUAAUAGGUCUAAAAUGGGUAAUGCUUAAGGGAUUCUGGAUUUUUGGGAUGAACACAAUAUUUGUUUUAUUAAUUGAAUGUAACUCCAUACAUUGGUUUAAUCUUUGGAGACAAAAAUUGGAGACGUCAUCCCCAACAAUUGACCAACACUUUUGAUAGAAUAAGGCUGGGAAACCAUCCUCUCCCAGUGCUUUUGUAGGACCCAUUCCUGAAAGAGCUUCCCGAAUUUCCUCCUUUGUGAACCUUGCCUUCAGUUUAAUGUUAUCUUCCUUAGAAAUACACCUUCUAAUACCUGUUAAGAUAUUCUCAAAGUUAUUUUGCCCUUCUGUUGAAAACAAACGUAAAAAGUACGAUCUGGAAAUUUCCUCCAUAUCCUUCCAUUCAUCCGUCUCCCUACCGUCUUCACCCUGCAACUUGUGGAUUCUAUUUUGCUUCCUUCGUUGCGAUGCUUGUUUAUGAAAAAAAUUUGUAUUUCUGUCUCCCAUUUUCAACCAAUUAAUUCUGGCCCUCUGCUCCCAAUAGCUUUCAUCCUUCUCAAUUUCUAAAUUUAGAUGGAUUUUUGUGUCAAUAAUCUCUGCCAAGUUCUCCUUACUUCUAUUCGCUUCAAGCAACAUUUCUAAUGUUGACAAUAAGACCUCAUUUUUCAUCCUUUUAUUCUGUUGGAACCAGACACUCCACCUUUGUAACCCUCGUUUUAAAUUUUCCAGCUUCUUCACAAGGUCUCCUGUAAGUUUUCCCAAAUACUUUUAGUCUCAUCCAAGAAUGUCUCUUUCAAAAUCCACCAUGCUUCAAACCUGAACCUCUGAUCUGCUAUCCUUUUAACUCUGUGAUCCGUAUCAAUAAGAAGUGGACAAUGGUCUGAAAAUGAAUGUGGGAGGUGUUGAAUUAUAAAAUUUGGAAAUAAGUCACUCCAUCGUUCUGUUGCCACUCCUCUAUCUAAUCUUUUAUGGAUAUUAGUUUCUGGCAGAUUUCCUCUCUCCCACGUAAACCUCUUUCCUGAAUAACCCAAAUCCACUAAACAACAAUCUUCCAAAGCCUUCCGAAAUGCUUCCAUCCUUUUCUCUUCUCUAGGCAAACCACAUUUCUUCUCAAAACCAUAUAAGAUUUCAUUAAAAUCCCCACAAACCAGCCAUGAGUCAUCUCCCUGGUUUCUUAAUUGUCGCAACAAGUUCCAUGAUUCCUCCCUAUCAUAUGAAUAAGGGGAACCACAAAAACCUAUAAAGCUCCACUUUUCUCCAUCUCCUUCUUCCUCAAUGAUCACAUCAAUAUGUCUACUUGAAAAACUCUGUAGUGUAAUACUAGCAUUCCUUCUCCAUGCUAAACAAAGUCCUCCUCUAGAUCCAAUCGAAUCCACAUCAAUUCCAAAGUGAAAUCCACAACUUCUUCGAAUUUUUCCAUCAUUUUUUUUGUUUAUUUUUGUCUCCAUUAAGAAGAUCACUUGGGGAUAGUGUUUCUUCAGUGAAUGUCGAAGUCGAUGAACUGUCCGAGGAUUCCCCAAACCUUGGACAUUCCAACUUAAUAUUUUCAUUACGAUCGGUCGGCUUGCCUCUUGGCAGCCGCCGAUAAUAAAUGAUUGAAUCCCUGUACUUUCCUAUCUCUCCCUUCUAUCUCCCUACUAUCCUUAAUAUCCUUUCUCCCUCUCUUUUUUCCAUCUUCUCCUAUAAUCAUCUCAUUCUCCAACUCCUGUUCUAUAGCCAUUUGACUAUAAUCAUUUAAAGGUCUAACCUUUUCUAUUUGUAAGGAGAACCCAUUACCUUCCAGAUUAAAUCCUAAAAUAGAAUCAACACUUCCCCUAAAAUUUCCUACGCUUCCCCUUUCAUUAUUUCCUCCGCUCAUUCCUCCCUCAGAACCUCUUUCCUCUCUUAACCAUACACUCCUCAUUGCUUGGGCUCUCCUUGAUUGUGCACGCAAAGAUAAAUCCCAUCCCAUCAUAUCAACUUCAACCCCUGCCUCUAUUUUUGCUUCACUAAAGAAGUCAUUAUGUCCAAGACGGCCACAGUAGAAGCAAAAAAGAGUCAAUCUUUCGUACUUAAAUCUAACAUAAGAGCACUUGUUAUUAGAAAUAACCUGCUUUUUCCUUUUGAGAGGGCGCCGAAUGUCAACUUGAAUUCUUAUCCUCAUGAAAUUCAUAUUUUCUUUCCCCAAACUAGAUCCAUCGUAUUCUUGAAAAAUUCCAAUAAAAUUCCCUAACUGCAUCGCUAAUUUAUCAGAGUAAAACCCAAUGGGCACAUCAUGUAUUUGAACCCAAAACGGUGAUGAGAUUAAAGGAACUUUUAGUGGAUCUUCCCCCCUUUGCAACUUGUGUAAAAUUAGUAGAUGAUUAUUGAAUGUCCAAGGAUCCCCUUUAAUAACUCUUUCCAUAUCAAUAACAUGGAAAAACUUAAACAAGUACCUUUUUCCCCCCAGAUCUCUAGUUUGAACACCCUUGACCGGAUGCCAUAGAUUAGCCAUGGUACUUUUCAUUGCUGGAUAAUGGAUGAUAUUGGUUGUAAGAAAACAACUAACCAGACUAAGAGAUUCUUCAUUAUUAACUAAAUCUGAGUCACCUUGUGCUUGCAGGAUCUCUUCUUCUUCUUCAUCAAGAGAUAAACCCGCAAAUUCUGAUUCCAUGGAUGCUGUACUCGAAUCCUCCGUUAAAGAAAUCACUUCAAAUCAAUGGAGAUGAACGCCACCAAAACAAGAAAACACAAAAAAAGACUUGCCAGAGAAGCAGACAGAGACGUGCUAGGGUAGCAGACUAUGGAAUAAGUUUUAACUAAUUUUUAAAAGUAAUAAAUACUAAUUAAAUAAA